rnacentral:rRNA from 1 species
AGAAUCAACGCUGGCGGCGUGCCUAACACAUGCAAGUCGAACGAGAAGGUGACUUCGGUCACUGGAUAGUGGCGUCCGGGUGAGUAACACGUAGGUAAUCUACCUUCGGGUGGGGAAUAACGUCUCGAAAGAGACGCUAAUACCGCAUAAUGCAGCGGCACCUAAUGGUGAUUAGUUGUUAAAGCGGGGGAUCUUCGGACCUCGCGCCUGAAGAGGAGCCUGCGGCAGAUUAGCUAGUUGGUGAGGUAAUGGCUCACCAAGGCUUCGAUCUGUAGCUGGUCUGAGAGGACGGCCAGCCACACUGGCACUGACACACGGGCCAGACUCCUACGGGAGGCAGCAGUGGGAAUUUUGGGCAAUGGGCGAAAGCCUGACCCAGCAACGCCGCGUGAAGGAGGAAGGCCUUCGGGUUGUAAACCUCUUUAUCAGGGAAGAUAAUGACGGUACCUGAUGAAUAAGUCACGGCUAACUACGUGCAGCAGCCGCGGUAAUCUA